rnacentral:tRNA from 1 species
GCCAGCAUGGCGUAGUGGUUUGACUGCUGGAUUUCAACUCUGGAGACCAGGGUCCAAUUCCCAGCUUGGCC